rnacentral:rRNA from 1 species
UCCACGCCGUAAACGAUGGAUACUAGAUGUUGGAGGACUCGACCCCUUCAGUGUCAAAGCUAACGCAUUAAGUAUCCCGCCUGGGGAGUACGGUCGCAAGAUUAAAACUCAAAGGAAUAGACGGGGACCCACACAAGCGGUGGAGCAUGUGGUUUAAUUCGACGAUAAGCGAGGAACCUUACCUAGACUUGACAUCCCGGGAAUUCUUCAGAAAUGAGGAAGUGCCGCAAGGA